rnacentral:misc_RNA from 1 species
CAACCAUCAAGCCCCAGGCUUGUGUUGGGGACCUGCGGCUGCCCGCAGGCCCUGAAAACCAGUGGCGGGCUCGCUAGUCACACCGAGCGUAGUAAUACAUCUCGCUUAGGGCGUGCUGCGGGUUCCGGCCGUUAAAAGCCUUUUUUACCCAA